rnacentral:rRNA from 1 species
AUACGGAGGAUCCGAGCGUUAUCCGGAUUUAUUGGGUUUAAAGGGUGCGCAGGCGGCCAUUUAAGUCAGCGGUUAAAUCGUGGGGCUCAACCCCAUUCUGUCGUUGAUACUGGGUGGCUUGAUUGCGGUCGAGGUUGGCGGAAUUCGUUGUGUAGCGGUGAAAUGCAUAGAUAUGACGAAGAACACCGAUUGCGUAGGCAGCUGACCAGAUCGCAAAUGACGCUCAUGCACGAAAGUGCGGGGAUCGAACAGGAUUAGAUACCCUGGUAGUCCGCACAGUAAACGAUGAAUACUUGUUUUCGGCGAUAUAAUGUCGGAGGCAAAGCGAAAGCGAUAAGUAUUCCACCUGGGGAGUACGCCGGCAACGGUGAAACUCAAAGGAAUUGACGGGG